UUAAUUUAAUCCAACGGACAAGGUUUUUUCCUACUCUUCUUUCUCUUUCGUCUCCUUCACCGAGGGAUUACCUUUCUCUGCAACGGACAAGGUUUUUUCCUUCUCUUCUUUCUCCUUUGUCUCUUUAGCCGAUUAACUUUCUCUUCUUUCUCCUUUCUCUCCUCCUCCCGUUGCUUCAUUCUAUUCGAUCUUCAUCUUGUCGUUGUUUUCAUCCUCUCAAGUUUUUAGAUUUGGUACCAGAGCAUUUUUGUGUAUCUCAGAUCCAAGAGCGAAGCUCGUCAAUACGAUGCUGACCGCGAUGUAAACUAAGGAAGAGAAGAGAAGCGCACUUGUCGCAACCCUCUCGAUUUCCCUAUCAUCAGAACCCCUUGAUGACACUGAGAGCGAAGCUCGUCAAUACGAUGCUGAGCGCUCUGAAUUUGGCGGCUUCGGUUGCGCCACCGUAAAGGUGCAAAUUCUUCUUCUUAUUCUUCUCCAUUUUCUAUUCAUCAUAUAUAGUUAGGUUUAUAGCUCUAUUGAUUGAUUUGUGUUCUGUGAUAGGUGAGUAGAAUCAUAGAUUUGAGCUGCAUUAAUUUGGGUCCGAGCUAAAAUCUGAAUCUUGUUGUAGGACCUGCGAGGUCAUGUUCUUUGUCUGUUCGUUGCAAGGAUGCUCAUGGUCACCAUGCUCAAGCACACUCUUAGACAGAGCUCAUGAUGUACAACUUUAUUUCAGAGUGGAAGGUACUUGAAGAAAUGAGUUACUUUGGGAACAUUAGUGGGAACUACUUAGGCUUCAAUGAUGGAAUAUCAAGCAAUUGAGAAUGUGCUACAAACCAUUUAUUAUGUAGUUGUUCAUCUUUUUUUUUCUAAUUAUGUUUUUUUUUAGGAGGAUGAAGUAUUCUUAUUUUUAAUUAUGAUUUUUAA